rnacentral:piRNA from 1 species
UCCACCAUGACAACCAUUGUGACUGCCUAGC